AAUCAACGCUGGCGGCGCGCCUAACACAUGCAAGUCGAGCGAGAAAGGGGGGCAACUCCUGAGUACAGCGGCGUACGGGUGAGUAACACGUGGGUAAUCUACCUCUUAGUGGGGAAUAACGCUGGGAAACCGGCGCUAAUACCGCAUAAGCCUGAGAAGGGAAAGCAGCAAUGCGCUGAGAGAGGAGCCCGCGGCCGAUUAGCUAGUUGGUGAGGUAACGGCCCACCAAGGCAAAGAUCGGUAGCCGGCCUGAGAGGGCACACGGCCACACUGGCACUGAAACACGGGCCAGACUCCUACGGGAGGCAGCAGUGGGGAAUCUUGCACAAUGGGGGAAACCCUGAUGCAGCGACGCCGCGUGAGCGAUGAAGCCCUUCGGGGUGUAAAGCUCUUUCGGCAGGGAAGAUAAUGACGGUACCUGCAGAAGCAGCUGCGGCUAACUACGUGCCAGCAGCCGCGGUAACAC
rnacentral:rRNA from 1 species